UCAACUUAGUGAGAAAUAUGGGAAGAACAGAAUUUGUUUAAAAAGUUUGUAAGGAGCCCAGACGAAGAUUAUGGGUAACAUUGUCACGAAACACAGUGAGGAAAGCAAGGAGUUGGGAGCUGUUACAGUUGAUAUGUCCAAUGAUAUUGCUCCAAAUCAAGUGACCAAACCUGACAUUGGAGAGGGAAAAAAAACGAUGGCUGAUCGUUGGUUUAUGUCUACAUGACUUGGUUUCACCAGCUCUACGGACGUACGUUAGGCCGCUUGUCGAAUCCGAGUUCAAAAGGUUCAAGGAAACAAAUCCAGCUCAACAGUUUUCAAAUUAUCAGAAGACAUAUACUCCUACGAAACAAAAAAUGAACUAUACAAACAUAAACAAUAACGCACAGCAACUGAACGACAAUGGCAAACCAGAUUGGGCGAAAUUUGAUUUCCAUGUGAAGGAUUAUGUAGACUUUUCAAAGCUGUUCUUGCAAACUUACAUGGUCCAUUAUACGGAUUUCGAUAAUACGUGUGAUCAAAGUGCUCUUCUAGCAAUAAUUAAAAAAAUGCACUCCUUUCCGAAGCCUAUAAAAACAGUCACUGAAAAUCUAGGAACGGCGGUACGAAACCCAUGGGCUCAUGUAGAUUUCAAAGAGUGGGACACAGUCAAGUACCAGACUUGCUUUUAACUGAUGACUCAAGUUAUCAAUGAAAUGAAGCAACCCUACGAAAGAGAAAUUAUUGAACAGCUUACUUUCUGGCAAUUCAAAGGUAAGCAAUUCCUAAGUGGGCCCGAUAUUGGGCUAGAACUGCUACAGAAUGUAACAGAAAAAACUAAGGCUCUGGUAAUAUAUAUCAAGGGAAGAGAAAAGACAAGUGAUGACAAUGUUGAGACCUGCUUAAAAGCUUUAGACGAUAUUUUACUUUCGUUAAUUUCAAAACUCACUGAACUGGAAUCAAGAGUAGACACACAUGACGCUAUGCUGAAACAACACUCAAAAGAGAUCAGUGAUAUUAAAUCUGCUUUCAACGUUAACCAGCCGGGACAACAGGUUGAUGAAGCUACAGUAGAAGUAGAAGAUACGAGGGAACUGGCUGAUAGAUUACAAAAGUUGCCGAUGGAAGACAAACAACUACCCCACAAGCCCAAAAUAAGCGAUAAAAUCGAUCCAGAGAAUAUGGAGACAGAUGGUAAUUAUAGCAAUAUUCAAUCUACAAGCAGUUUUAUUUCGGGGGGGAAAGGUUCGUUAUGAAUCAGUAUUUCUUAUUACCUGUAGUUCUAUCAGCUAUAAUUCGUAAGUUCCUUUAAAAGUUAUAUGUUGAAAUAGUAUGUUAACAAAAAUGUGAUAUAUUUUUGCGACUUUAACUGCAAUUCCUCCCUUAUCGUUAUAGCUUAUAAUACUAGAGUAUGUUUAUCUCACUUUAAAAAGGCCUGUGUAAAAACUCAUAUUUUAUAAACAAUCGACCUGUUUGAUAGUAAACAACGCGCGGCCAUAAUAUCAUUAAUGGAAUAGGAGAAGUG